ensembl:lncRNA
ACAGUAUCUGGACAGGUUGAGGUAAUACUACAGUAUCUGGACAGGUUGAGGUAAUACUACAGUAUCUGGACAGGUUGAGGUAAUACUACAGUAUCUGGACAGGUUGAGGUAAUACUACAGUAUCUGGACAGGUUGAGGUAACACUACAGUAUCUGGACAGGUUGAGGUAAUACUACAGUAUCUGGACAGGUUGAGGUAAUACUACAGUAUCUGGACAGGUUGAGGUAAUACCACAGUAUCUGGACAGGUUGAUGUAAUACUACAGUAUCUGGACAGGUUGAGGUAAUACUACAGUAUCUGGACAGGUUGAGGUAAUACUACAGUAUCUGGACAGGUUGAGGUAACACUACAGUAUCUGGAC